AAUCAACGCUGGCGGCGUGCCUAACACAUGCAAGUCGAACGCGAAAGCCCCUUCGGGGGCAAGUAGAGUGGCGUCCGGGUGAGUAACACGUGGGUAAUCUACCUCCGGGUGGGGAAUAACUCGCCGAAAGGCGGGCUAAUACCGCAUAAUGCAGCGGCACCGAAUGGUGAUUAGUUGUUAAAGCGGGGGACCGUUAGGGCCUCGCGUCUGGAGAGGAGCCUGCGGCAGAUUAGCUUGUUGGUAGGGAAUGGCCUACCAAGGCUGCGAUCUGUAGCUGGUCUGAGAGGACGGCCAGCCACACUGGCACUGACACACGGGCCAGACUCCUACGGGAGGCAGCAGUGGGGAAUUUUGGGCAAUGGGUGAAAGCCUGACCCAGCAACGCCGCGUGAAGGAGGGAAUCCUUCGGGAUGUAAACUUCACAAGCAAGGGAAGAGCGCGCAGGGUCGAAUAAACUCUGCGUCCGACGGUACCUUGCGUAAGCCACGGCUAACUACGUGCCAGCAGCCGCC
rnacentral:rRNA from 1 species